rnacentral:rRNA from 1 species
CCAGACUCCUACGGGAGGCAGCAGUGGGGGAUAUUGCACAAUGGGGGAAACCCUGAUGCAGCGACGCCGCGUGUGGGAAGACGGUCCUCUGGAUUGUAAACCACUGUCCCCAGGGACGAAAAUGACGGUACCUGACUAAGAAGCCCCGGCUAACUACGUGCCAGCAGCCGCGGUAAUACGUAGGGGGCAAGCGUUAUCCGGAUUUACUGGGUGUAAAGGGAGCGUAGACGGCUGUGCAAGCCAGAUGUGAAAGCCCGGGGCUCAACCCCGGGACUGCAUUUGGAACUGCGUGGCUUGAGUGUCGGAGAGGCAGGCGGAAUUCCUAGUGUAGCGGUGAAAUGCGUAGAUAUUAGGAAGAACACCAGUGGCGAAGGCGGCUUUCUGGACUGAAACUGACGCUGAGGCACGAAAGCGUGGGGAGCGAACAGGAUUAGAUACCCCUGUA